GGCUGGUCCUUGUGCAGUAGUGUUUACAACUAUUUGAUCACAACCAAUUACAGUUCUUCCCCACUCCCAUUGCUUCACUUUACUGUCCUUAA
rnacentral:Y_RNA from 1 species